rnacentral:rRNA from 1 species
UACGUAGGGUGCGAGCGUUAAUCGGAAUUACUGGGCGUAAAGCGUGCGCAGGCGGUUUUGUAAGUCUGACGUGAAAUCCCCGGGCUCAACCUGGGAAUGGCAAUGGAUACUGGCUGGCUAGAGUGUGUCAGAGGAUGGUGGAAUUCCCGGUGUAGCGGUGAAAUGCGUAGAGAUCGGGAGGAACAUCAGUGGCGAAGGCGGCCAUCUGGGACAACACUGACGCUGAAGCACGAAAGCGUGGGGAGCAAACAGG